ACGGGUGCGUAACACGUGGGAAUAUACCUUUUGGUUCGGAACAACGCAAGGAAACUUUCGCUAAUACCGAAUGUGCCCUUACAGGGAAAGAUUUAUCUCCGAAGGAUUAGCCCGCGUCCGAUUAGCUGGUUGGUGAGGUAAUGGCUCACCAAGGCUCCCAUCGGUAGCUGUUCUGAAAGGAAGAUCACCCACACUGGGACUGACACACGGCCCACACUCCUACGGGAGGCAGCAGUUGGGAAUCUUGGACAAUGGGGGAAACCCUGAUCCAUCCAUGCCGCGUGGGUGAUGAAUGCCUUCUGGUUGUAAAACUCUUUCGACAGGAACGAUAAUGACUGUACCCAUAAAACAACCUCCGGCUAACUUCCUGCCACCACCCGCGGCAAUACGAAGGGGGCUAGCGUUGUUCGGAAUUACUGGGCGUAAAGCGCGCGCAGGCGGUCUUCCCAGUCAUUGGUGAAAGCACGGAGCUCAACUCCGGAACUGCCAUUGAAACUGUAAGACUUGAGGACAAGAGAAGUGAGUGGAAUUCCCAGUGUAUAAGUGAAAUUCAUAUA
rnacentral:rRNA from 1 species